rnacentral:rRNA from 1 species
UACGGGGGGGGCAAGCGUUGUUCGGAAUUACUGGGCGUAAAGCGUGCGUAGGUGGCGUGUUAAGUGUGAUGUUAAAUCGUGUGGCUCAACCAUAUCGAUGUGUCGCAUACUGGCAUGCUAGAGGACAGCAGAGGCAAGUGGAAUUGGUAGUGUAGCAGUGAAAUGCGUAGAUAUUACCAGGAACACCAAUGGCGAAGGCAGCUUGCUGGGCUACUCCUGACACUGAGGUACGAAAGCGUGGGGAGCGAACAGG